CAACGACAUUAAACCACCCGGU
rnacentral:miRNA from 1 species